GCGGGUGUAGCCGAACUGGUAUAGGCGCCAGAUUUAGGAUCUGGUGGGUUCGUCCCAUUGGGGGUUCGAGUCCCUCCACCCGCA
rnacentral:tRNA from 1 species